GGAGUGGCGGGGAACCAAACAUAUAUAGAAAACAAGACUCUGCUUGCACCCGAUGGUGCCCUGAAGUUGCCAAUCUGUAUAAAUGUUGUUUGUUUGCAUCGUAUUGUCAGACUGUGUCAAUGGUAGAUAUACAGCCCAGGUCACAUGACUCUGGACACUCCAGUGUCAUCAUGCCAAUUAGUGAUAGACGUCCGUGUGGAGAUGCUCAAAGGGAGAUUUAAUUCAUCAUCACACCAGUGUGUGCCUGUUAACGUGGCCCCUGUGUUCUCUGUGGGGGGGGGGGUACAAAAAAUGAGAACAUGGAACCGACCUGUCGGGGGUUACUGGUCUAAAGAAGCAGUGUUGUGAUAGAGUACUGAAAAGAGAGCCUGUGCACCCCCUCGUCCCAAUGAACCUAAUGUGAACUUCUGCAACCCUGAUACCCUCUUCUUGUGAAAACCCCUGACCCUCAACCAAUCCCUGACCUGAUCUCCAGCACCCCGGUCCUCCAACAAUCCAAGGUCACCUCCCCCCGUAAACCCAAACGCCCAGCAUCUAUCGCCCGCCGGUGAUUUAGCUUUCAAUCUGCUUCUAAACUGGCUGCUGGUGUUACAAUUUGGUCCAGGUCCAGUAUCCAAUCAGACUGUAAACCAUGACCAGUGCGAAGGAGGUCCCGGGUCGAGCUAGUUUCUUAAAGUGUUGUUUGAACGCAGACAAAAGUCACGAAAGUGUUCAGACGUUCUGAAGGGGAUAGUUUCAGGACCGAGCAUCCUGACGCCUUUCAACCAACACCCCCAACUUCCAAAUCCGCCUUUGAUCAUAAUGCCUGUUCACUUAUUUCCCCUGUUGACAAAGAGCCAAGCAUAGCUUCCCCAGCCCGCCAACUCUCUGAGGAGGAACGUGCUGCAGCUUCAGAGAGGACGCAGAUAUAGAAACUCAGAUCAGAACUCCUGCAGAAACAUCUGCAGCAGCUCUUCAACACAUGCAGCAUCUAGAGAACAUUCAGCAGAGGAAACAUGAGCAGUUUACUAAAAGCUGCAGAAACCAAACGCUGCAAGAAGCUCCAACACAACGGAGACCAGUGGACUAGCUCGCUAACGUAGCUACCCUUCAGAUAUCCUGACUCUUCCAGUUCUGAGGGAGACUCUCUCUGAGACAGAGACAGUUGCAUCGUUUCUGAAGCUGCAGCGUGUUGGCACCUGUGGGCCACCAUACAAACCUUAAAGCAGGAGCAAACGUCAGAGUUUCAGACGUGGUUUGAAACGUACUGAUGUUUUUAAACUUCUCAGUCUGCCACCAUAGACCGCUUCAUUGGACGACACAAACCUCCUCUGGUUACUGAAGACGACAUGUAACUCUAGUUCUAACAACCCAAGUACCCCCUCCCAGUGGACCAAUCCCCCAAAUACUGACCCCCCACCCCCAUCCUUGUUCCCCUGACUUCAUGCAGAAGCGUUCAGCAGGACGGGGGGGGCGCGUUAGCCUCACUGAUGUUUCCAGUGGUGUCGGUCAAGUGUAGUGAUUUGAGUUUUCAUUCGUGAGUCAAGAAAAGAUAUUCAGGUCUUCCUAGUCUUCAGAAUAAGUGCUUUCUGUUCCUGAACCUGCUGGACUGGCAUUAUCAACACCGUGCUCUGCAUCUCUGAACCCUGAACUGCCAAACCCUGGUCCAGAUUCAGCAGGCGCUGACUGCUGGGAAAGAUCAAAUCCUUGAUGUGUAGACGAGUCCCCGGAGUGAGACAGGAGAGCUUAUUAAACAAUAACGAGGGUCUUCGGAUCUCAAAAGAACAAUACCACAAAUCCUGAGAUAAAAGCACAAGCUGCAUCACAUGAAGAGCUUUUUGUACGUCGUUAUGGAAUCAGAGUAUGCAUCUCUUUGUUGUGUCCCCACAUUGCCAAUAUUUUUCUAGGAGGAAAUCCAGACCUCUGCCUGACAUGAGGGUCAUGUUCCUGGAUUAGAUGGUGCAUCGCUUUCCUCUCUGGAGCAAGUUCUGGGCUGAAGCGUGGCGCUGUCGGUCGGGUCGGUCUCUUCCCGCUCAAUCAUGACUCCUGGCACCUGGGUGGCUGUCCGUUAACGGUGCUUUCUGUUUCUUUCUCCCUGCAAUGUUGGAUCUGCUGAAACUGUCGUGAAAACACGACCGCUGAGCAGCCGUGAAGAUUAUCCUGAAAUCAUGAGCAUCUGUUUUCAUUGAUGGGGGGUUAGCAGCCAUGCUAAUGGUGACCAGAUGUUCUCUAUUUUAAACUCUCUACACGUGUCGGGUUCAUAUCUCCACAACAGGUUUCACUUUUAACUCCAAGCCUUUUAUCGGACGCCUCGGUAAACGAUCCUCUGGUUCGUCCAGUACUUCACUGCUGCUACACAUCAGCAUGUUAGCCAGUGUUAGCAUGCUAAUGUUAGCAUUUAGCUGCAAUGGUAAGAGCUGCAGGCAUGGCUGUAGAAUUGUGUUCUUAACUGAUAAUUAUCAAUGAGAGUAAAACGUACGACACUUUCCCGUACAACAGAACCGCUCCUUUAGGAACUGUCUUCAGUUUAGUGAAAACACAGCAGAGCUAUCUGGCUCCGUUUAGCUUUAGCUUAAAGAACCUGGGCCAGCGUUGACUCCUGUUUCCCGAGAGUCCAGAGGUUCCUCCGGUAGAUCCCAUGCCUUUCUGUUUGAUGGGAACGUGGUUCUGACGCUGUGAGCGCAGGGGUGAGUACGUGUGGGGCAACUUUAAAACACUUACAUGUGUGUUUUCAUCAUAUCCUAUUGAAGCAACAUAUCCCACAUGUUUGAGUUCCUGACGUCAGCUGUACAAACUGCCUUCAGAACUUCCCCGAGGAGAGGGUUCCCGGGGCUGGGCUCUGUAGGACCAGGGUCCGUCCCGAUCCUCCCGUUCGGUUCUUACCGGAUUUAUUUCUUUGCCCCCCCUCCCCCCUCUGUACAGUAGGUACCUCGAGUGCCUUUUCUUCAAACAGCAGAUAAUAUUUGUCUCUUGACUUGCACUGUGACUUGUAGAACCCCCCCCCCCCCCCCCUCACUUCCUCAGGCAACGGGAACAUGUCAUACUCAUCUCGACCACACGGUGUUUCCUCGUCGUUUUUAUUAAGAGUUGCCUUAAAUGUGUUUUAUUUUCCCAGUCAUCGAGCGGAGAGAGAUCCCAGUCUGGUGGUUUUGGUCGUGUGGGGGGGGGGGGGGGGGGGGGGGGGGGGGGGGGGCUCCAAAGAGGGGUUGUCGGGAUGUUUGACAGCCGGACGUUUAGUGAUGCACUUUUCGGUUCGACCAGUAUUAUUGACGUUAAGACAGGCCCCGCCCCCCCCCACCCCCGUGGUUCCUCGUCUUUUGUUUCUGGAUUUUCUGCAUCUAACGAGCUAACCGCGGCGCAGACCCGCCACCUGUCCACUCGCAUGCCUUCUUAUGCAAACUUUUAUACCAGAUUUGUCAAACCUUUUUUUAAAUGCAUCCGUUUUGUAACUCCUUCUUUUAUGUGGAGCUCGAGUCACCUUUUAUUUCGUUGGACAGCGUGCGGUUAGGGUGUCGCACGUUUCUUCCUGACACCGGAUUUGGAACCGGCUGAUGCACCAUGCUGAUCAAGUCUUCAAUUGAUUAUUGAGUUGGAUCCUAUUUGGACUAAAAAGUGAAUCGACCCGAAGAGAACAGCUGAUUGCUUUUCUGUUGGGAAGACUUUUUUAAAACAGGAGGCGAGGGAAAAGGAAUCUGUUGGUGCGUUUGAUGUGAAUAGUUUUAUGUUUCUGAAAACAUCUGAACUGAGGUUUUGCUCGGUUCAAAAAAAGAUUUCUAAUAAAUCCUCUUAAAUAAAGUGGUUAUUUUUUAAAUCUGUAAAAUUGGUGGAAAAACCCUUUUUGUGGCUAAUUUUAGAGAUAAGUGUUUGUUGUAAUACACACUUUGACCACCAGAGGCUGAAGUGCUCUCCUGUGUUUUAGACACUUAAAACAUCCAUGGUCUUUCAUCAUGGGGAUUUUUAAAAAGGACUUCAUGCUCUCCAAUCACAACAUGCGAAUACAUAAAUAUAAAGUAUUCCUCUAGUGGUUAAAAUGAGUAUUACAUCUAAAAACUCGUAAAAAAACAAUGGUUUCAUAAAUUGAAAACAAAUGAAUGUUCGAACAAAACAAAGUUUAACUUGUUGUUGUAAUACUAAUCUGAACCACAAGAGGCUGAAGUACUAUUAUUUAUACUAAAAAACCACCAUGUUCAUCUUUGUGUUUGUUAUGACUCACGCACACACACACAACAUAGAAUACAUACAUGUAAAAUAUACUUCACCUCUUGUGGUUUUAAAUUGGUAUUACAUCAAAAGUCCCUCGUUUUCACAAAUUGACAAAAAGUAUCCCCCCCCCCCCCCCCCCCCCCCACCACAGCCUCCGUACUUGUAUGUAGUUGAUGCAUAUCGUUUAUUUCCUGCACGUUGUGCGUCCACUGCGACCGCAGGAAGUCGUUGAAGCCUCGUCUGGCGGAUUCUUCUGGAAGCGGUUUUCUUAACGAGCGAUCAAGUCCUGAUUGUGGCCUUCUAGUAUUGUGGAGACAUCGACCCGCUGUUCAUCCUGUCCGGAUCCAACUGUUCGCCCAGAGCUUCUUACCUCGUCCACGGCUAAUCCAUCGGGGGUGUUGAGUGCAAAACAGAAAAAAACAAAAUAAGUCUUUUUUUAAUCUUCCAUACGGUGAGAUGCAUUGUAGCGAUGUAAAGAGGAGUUCACCUGGUGUGCUGAAUAAUGUGUACUAUUACACACUCUGAAUAUUUGUAUAAUUGUUUGUAUUUUUUCAUAAUGAUUUUGGAAAGGAAUGUGUUUAUUUUUUUGACUUGUGUUCCAGAUGUGUCUUCUGUUGGCCUGACAUUGUGAUGGUCUGGUGGGAUUCUUACCUCUGUAUUGAGCCUCUUCUUCUGUGAUGACUUCUUUGUAUGCAGUGUUUAGGAAAUACUGUGGGGAACAUGGGGAGGAGUUGAUAUUAGGAGCAUUUGAUCAAUUUGUAUUUAUUUAUUUUAUCAUUUUGUUAAUAAAUUGUGAAAAGCA